CUUUUAGCAGAAAACAAGACAAUGGCCAAGGUGAAGGAUUCACACUCUGAAAUGGCCCAAGCUCGCCAGAGUGAUGGCAUCAAUGUAAUCUUUGAUCAGGAGAGCUCUUCCUCCUCCUCCCGUUCCCACUCCCGCUCUAGAAGCCCCGGUGUCAGCAGCCGCUCCUCUGGUUCCGGUCGCCACAGAGGACGUGGUAGCUACAGGAGACGUUACAGGUCUUCAUCAUCUUCGUGCAGCAGGUCCUCCUCUCACUCCAGGUCCCGCUCUCACCCCCGGUGCCACAGACGGUCCUCCCGCUGUCGCUGUGACAACCAUCACAGAUAUGGUCGUGGCCAGUACAGAGCCCACUCCCGCUCUUUGAGCCGGUCAGCCUCACCAGACAGAUACUCAAGUCACAGACAGUACAGGUCACGCUCCAGGUCCAGUCGCCAGACCAGGCACGGGAGAGAUGUGAGCAGUUUAAGAUACAGAUCGUCCCGUUCUUCAUCCAGAGCCAACAGGAGCCGCUCAAAGUCCAGAGCCUCAACACACUCUGUCAGUUUGAGUUUAGAUGAUAAAAUGGAAUUCCUCAACGCUGCAAAGGUCAAGGCUGUGAAGAUCCCAGAAAAGGAGAAGCUGGAACUCCUGGAGAGUGUGAAACCGAUCCUGUCAGAGCAGUCAGAGGAGUCCAGACAGAGUUCACCAGAUACAUGGGUGAGACAUGACGCUGAUGAAAGGACUCCAUCAAAGAGCGAUGAGGUGGAGCCUGAUGAUAUGACCAGCCCAAAGAUGUCCCCAACAAGGAAAAUAAUCUCUUUCAGCAUCAAUAAUUCUGUGGCCAAACCAACGGCAGCCGCUCCAUCUUCUGCUAAGGUAACACCAAGAGUGGACAUCUAUGAAAGCAGGAAGCCCUAUGGCCACUGGGUUCCAGUCAAAACAGGCCAUAACUCACGCAAACGCACACUCGCCAUACUAUAG
ensembl:lncRNA